rnacentral:rRNA from 2 species
UUGGACCUGAUAUCAGGCAAG